rnacentral:lncRNA from 1 species
GAGCAGUAAGAGAGAGAUAUCCGGGAGCCAGCAACCGGCCUUCGAGGCGUGCUCGCCUCCCACAAACAGAACCAAUCGCCGACUCUAGGGCUUUCCGAUGAAGAUUCGAGCGAUCAGAGGUGGUAGUGGCGAGUUUUUGGGGCCAGCUGGUGGAAUCAUGUCUUUCUCCCAUAUUCCCGUUUGCAUUCCACCACCAUCAUUCACUUUCAUUAUGAAAGAAAGCAAGAAACAAGAAUAAGGGUUAGGCACUUGAUUUGAAGAUGAAGGCCAGACCUAGAAAAUGUGAUUUGAAGAUUGAGUGAAAUAUUUAGAGAGAGAGAGAGAGAGAGAGAGAGAGAGAGAAAUGACUGCUUUCUCCGGCCGUCGAGCCUUCACGCCGGUGAUCGGAUGCUUUCUCCGGUAGCUUAGCAUUCAUGGUUACAAGAACACGUCAGAAAUGGAAGAAAAAAAAUGGCAAUGGGAGGUCAAAGAUUGGACAUUAUGAGUGAUUGAAUUUAGGAAAACUACACAACGUUUGUCAAAGGUGGGGGUAUGCUUAUCGGUCUUCUUCAGUUCAGGUGAGUAAAAAACAAUCCCUUUGAUUUGAUUUUGCUAUUUUCAAUCACUUUUUGAUGGAUUUUUAUUUCUUUGCUCGAAAUUUCAUGACGGGUUUCAAUAUCUAUUAUUUUGUGAAGAUUAAUGGGAAUGGUAUGCUGACAAACACCAUAAUUGCAAACUAUAAUGGAUAAAAUUGUUUCUGAGCAGAUUGGGUGUUUAACAUUAAUAAGGGGUAGAAACUAUGAUUUAUGAAUGAUGUUAUUUUGGUUGUUCAGGGACGGGUUGACCAUAUAUGGCUGGCUUGAAUACACAAUUCUUCUUUUUCAUGAAGGCCUUUGAGAUCACAAAGUGGUGCUAAAAGUAUUUUUUUUUCAACAGUGAUGAUUCAUAGGAGGAAAAACUUAAAACCGAUAUGGAAACUUCAAAAAUCUUGAAUUUCGAGAGAAUAAGUAAGAGGGAAAAAUAAGACGUGUUUUAAUCUUAAGUAUUGAGUUAUAGUCAGUUAAUAUCACUUGUAGAGUUGUUAGAUAUUUGUUCGAUUUCAUGUAUGUCUACACGAAGAGAAGGAGAAAAAUGUACACCCCGCUAUUGUGUAUUAUUUACAUCCAGCCUAAAUGAAUAACUAUGCACAUGUGGAAGACAAAUAUAAUGUGUGUUAGAGACCCGACUUUUACAUCUAAACAAAAUUAAAAUCCAUGUUAUAACAUGUGAUUGGCUUUUAUUCGAUUAUCAGAAAAUUGAAUUGUAGCCUUUAGUUAUACAAAUCUAACUUGGGAUAUGUCAUAUGCUUGAGUAUGAUACUGGUUAACACUAUCAUUCCUAUAACAGAUGAUCCUUGAUCCGGAUGUUUUAUAUUCCAAAGUAAAAGUUGUAUGAAAUGUUACAAAGUGUUUGAUAAAACUUACAUAAAAUGACAUGAAGAAGUGUGUAAGCUUAUAUUACAUGAUAUACUAUGAUUGCAUUUAGGAUUUGUAUAUGGUGUUGAAGAAGUGUGUAAGCUUAUAUUACAUGAUAUACUAUGAUUGCAUUUAGGAUUUGUAUAUGGUGUUGAUUACUUAUAGAUUAUUACACAUCAUGAGCAUCAUCCUUGCUACCACUACAUGUGUAAGCAUAUAUUACAUGAUAUACUAUGAUUGCAUUUAGGAUUUGUAUAUGGUGUUGAUUACUUAUAGAUUAUUACACAUCAUGAGCAUCAUCCUUGCUACCACUACAUGGCUGGUGACGGUGGGGAUUGUCGGCAUCGGACGGGAGAUUAGGUUGGUCGCGAUGUUGUUGAAGAGUUCCACCAGGUGACGGAGGCGGGUAAAAGCCCAGUGAAGAUCCGCCGAAGGAUGAUUUCGCGUAUGCGAGAUCCAAACCAUUGGAGAAGAAUUUACCUUCGGUGACGGUUAUUAAGGCGAUAGCGGCAGUUGAUUGAGAUUUGGCUCAUGAUAUCCCGGAGCAUUGGUUAGCUAAUUUUGUGGUUGAUUUAAUGAAGAUUGAUUUAAUGAAGAUGUAGGUUUUAAUAUUAGCUUUGAUGCAGUAUAUACAGUUGAUGCUACUUGCUAUGCCCCAAAUUCGAUUCACAGCCACCACCAAAAAGGCCGGGUAAAGGUGGAAUGGACGACUAAAAGCCGAACCAUAGACAUACCUUUUGUCCACCUAAAGGAACAAGUCACGGUGGAAUGGCAGCCUACAUCCAAAAAGCGCAAGACAUUUCUUUUGUACAGAUCAUGAUUGAAGAUUCAACUACCAAACAAGUACAUUACAUGUUGCGUAUAUAAGCAGCCACGACGGCUUUCCUUAGGAAAACUUGUAAUAAACGGUAAACCGUAUGCUAUUGACUUGAACAUGUAUCUCUAGAUGUCCUAAAUUUUGUUUGCCGCAUCUAUACGCGACAUGAUAAUCUCUAUACGUGACAGUAUAAUCGAUGAAUGAUAAUGUUAUUAACAGGAUCAAUGCUUGCAACCGUAACUUAAUAAAGCUAACUUGAAUCGUCGCGCAACGCGCG